ensembl:lncRNA
GCCUGUUGGUUGCAAGACCUUAAGGGUGUAUAUCUGCACAUCCAGCCCCUGGAAGUGGGAAAUAGGAGGCACCCCAAGAUCCAGGUGUUCUGAGACUGAGCCCCUGCACUCACCAGCCUUUGAUGAGUGACUCACUCAACCACAAGCCUUGGGUCUCCUCGUCUGUAAAUGUCCAUACUAGCAGCUGUGCAGUGUUAGGAGAUUGAAAAUGUGGAAGAAAAUGGUGGAGAAGGAUGGAAGAAAGAAGAACCCAAAAAGUAGCCAAACUCAGGCCACAGAUCCAACCCCUGGAGAGGAAGACGACUCCUGGUCUCACUUUGUAGCCCUUGGUAACUUGACUGGCUUUGACCUGACAGAGAUCCUAACUGCUUCUGCCUCCUGAGUCCUGAGUUUACAGAAGAGCACAGUUGUUACAGCCAUUCCCAUUUAUUCUCAAGCUGAAAAGAUGAACUUUGGGUCCUGGGAACCGAACUCUGGAAGUUUUCCUUACAAGGCUUACCCUUUAAUGGCUGAACUGUAUUUCCAGGCCCUAAUUUCUGAUCACACAUCCCAAAGGUAACCCGUAGGCGACCCGAGACUCACUAGGUUCUCCUGAAGAUGCAUCGCUGCUGAAGAGCUACUCCUAGAUGGUGGUGAACUCUCGCUGACACCAGGACUGAGAUCCAUGCUCACUUGACUGCGCUGGGUCUUUAACUGGAGUCCCCUGAGAAAGAGGCCUCAUGAAGUAGAAGCUGGGCACCGGAAGAACUUAGCUGCUUAGGCUGCAGCGGUCUCUACGGGAGAUUGGUAAACUAAAAUGGCCACAAACAGUUCUUGCCUGAGUUUCUGCCCUCACUUCCCAUCACAGAGGGAUGUGAAAAACGAAAUAAACCCUUUCCUCCCCCAGUUGAUUUUGGUUGCUGUGCUUAUUAUAGCAAUAGGAAGCAACCUGUACAUCCUCAUAAUCCCAGCACUCAGGAGGUAGAAAUUGAAGGUAAGCCCGGGCUACGUGAGAUCCUGUCUCAAGACAAGGGGAAAGAAAACAGCUAGAGAAGAGAAAAGACAAUAUGGAGUUUCCCUUGGUGGAGCUGUCAAUCAACCACACUGAGGGUGAAUUGGAAGAAAAGUGUUCCUUUACCCUAGCUGGAUACUGUGGGCCUUCACCAAAGUGUCCCUUAGUCAGGGUCUGUCACAGGCAAAUAUGACAGACUCUUUACAAGGGUCGAAAUGAGCUCUUUAGGCAGCUUGUACCC